AAGGAAUUAGUUAAAAUAACAUUAGAAUGUCAAACUAAAAUUGCUUAAACAAAGCAUUCCUUG
rnacentral:tRNA from 1 species